rnacentral:rRNA from 1 species
UAGGGAAUCUUCGGCAAUGGACGGAAGUCUGACCGAGCAACGCCGCGUGAGUGAAGAAGGUUUUCGGAUCGUGAAGCUCUGUUGUAAGAGAAGAACGAGUGUGAGAGUGGAAAGUUCACACUGUGACGGUAUCUUACCAGAAAGGGACGGCUAACUACGUGCCAGCAGCCGCGGUAAUACGUAGGUCCCGAGCGUUGUCCGGAUUUAUUGGGCGUAAAGCGAGCGCAGGCGGUUAGAUAAGUCUGAAGUUAAAGGCUGUGGCUUAACCAUAGUAGGCUUUGGAAACUGUUUAACUUGAGUGCAAGAGGGGAGAGUGGAAUUCCAUGUGUAGCGGUGAAAUGCGUAGAUAUAUGGAGGAACACCGGUGGCGAAAGCGGCUCUCUGGCUUGUAACUGACGCUGAGGCUCGAAAGCGUGGGGAGCAAACAGGAUUAGAUACCCUGGUAGUCCACGCUGUAAACGAUGAGUGCUAGGUGUUAGACCCUUUCCGGGGUUUAGUGCCGUAGCUAACGCAUUAAGCACUCCGCCUGGGGAGUACGACCGCAAGGUUG